rnacentral:rRNA from 1 species
GACGAACGCUGGCGGCGUGCUUAACACAUGCAAGUCGAACGGAAAGACCCUGCUUUUGUGGGGUGCUCGAGUGGCGAACGGGUGAGUAACACGUGAGUAACCUGCCCUUGACUUUGGGAUAACUUCAGGAAACUGGGGCUAAUACCGGAUAGGAGCUCCUGCUGCAUGGUGGGGGUUGGAAAGUUUCGGCGGUUGGGGAUGGACUCGCGGCUUAUCAGCUUGUUGGUGGGGUAGUGGCUUACCAAGGCCUUGACGGGUAGCCGGCCUGAGAGGGUGACCGGCCACAUUGGGACUGAGAUACGGCCCAGACUCCUACGGGAGGCAGCAGUGGGGAAUAUUGCACAAUGGGCGGAAGCCUGAUGCAGCAACGCCGCGUGCGGGAUGACGGCCUUCGGGUUGUAAACCGCUUUCGCCUGUGACGAAGCGUGAGUGACGGUAAUGGGUAAAGAAGCACCGGCUAACUACGUG